rnacentral:rRNA from 1 species
CAGCAGGGGAAUACGUAGGGUGCAAGCGUUAAUCGGAAUUACUGGGCGUAAAGCGUGCGCAGGCGGUUAUAUAAGACAGAUGUGAAAUCCCCGGGCUCAACCUGGGAACUGCAUUUGUGACUGUAUAGCUAGAGUACGGCAGAGGGGGAUGGAAUUCCGCGUGUAGCAGUGAAAUGCGUAGAUAUGCGGAGGAACACCGAUGGCGAAGGCAAUCCCCUGGGCCUGUACUGACGCUCAUGCACGAAAGCGUGGGGAGCAAACAGGAUUAGAGACCCCCGUAGUCCCUGUCUCUUAUACACAU